rnacentral:rRNA from 1 species
UACAGAGGUGGCAAGCGUUGUCCGGAAUCACUGGGCGUAAAGGGCGCGUAGGCGGCCUGAUAAGUAGGGGGUGAAAUCCUGCGGCUUAACCGCAGGGCUGCCUUCUAAACUGUCAGGCUAGAGCACGGUAGAGGCAGAUGGAAUUCCCGGUGUAGCGGUGGAAUGCGUAGAGAUCGGGAAGAACAUCAGUGGCGAAGGCGGUCUGCUGGGCCGUUGCUGACGCUGAGGCGCGACAGCGUGGGGAGCAAACAGG